ensembl:lncRNA
AUGGACUGGAGGGGGAGCACCUACCUGUGCCUGCAGUCGAGCAGUGAGGGGGACGAGGCUGGCAGCAUCAGGCAGAGCAGUUUCGCCAUCCUCAUGCUGUCCCUAAGAACUGCAGUCAUUAGCCGCACAAUUCAGCAUCUCUGUAGGGGCCACACGUCGUAUAGACGCUGUGUGUUUCACUGUGAAAGCGAAACUACUUUGUUUGGCCUUCCAAAAGAGGACGAUAUCUGCUUUGUCAUGCCUGGAGCUGAUCUGUACUGGUCGCUGAGGAAAUACAUCAACUUUGCACUGUGGAUUGUUGAAUCGGCUUUCACCGUGGACGAAGCGGAGUCCAACCCCGGGUCGUUACAUGUGGUUGCUGCAAGCCCAAGGUACGCUCCUUCAUAGAAUCCGCCUGCCGCACCGUUCUCAAGCCAAAACAAAAUAUUAUUACUUACCUAUAAGGCCUUAAUGGUUUAGCUCCUGCGUACCUAAUUAGCCUUCUACCACGUUACAAUCCAUCACGCUCCCUAAGGCCACAAAACUCUGGACUUUUGGUAGUACCUAGGAUAGCAAAGUCCACUAAAGGAGGUAGUGCUUUUUCGCAUUUGGCUCCCAAACUCUGGAAUAGCCUUCCUGAUAAUGUUCGGGAUUCAGACACACUCUCUCUGUUUAAAUCUGUUUAAAAACACAUCUCUCUGGCCAAGCAUUAAUGCAUCUCAUAAUUUUGGACUGCAGUUAUAUCUGAUCAAAUGCACAUAAUUAUUCUUUAGCUUGGGUUAAACUAGUUAAGUUUACUUGGUUGGAACAGCAGCUACGUUAAAUAUGUUCUUUUGAGUUCAAGGCAUGUUCUUAUUUGGGUCUAGAAUUGAUUUGAACAGCUCAAAAUCCUGCCUCACUGUCCCUCAAGCAGUUAAUUUAGCAAAACAUUAGAUAAAACCCAUUAAAGGGAUAGUUCACCUAAAAAUGAAAAUUCUGUCAUUAAUUACUAACCCCCAUGUCAUUCCAAACCCAUAAGAUCUUCGACAUUUUUAUAAAAAUCACAUUAAGUUUAACAGUUUCUCACUA